rnacentral:rRNA from 1 species
GACGAACGCUGGCGGCGUGCCUAAUACAUGCAAGUAGAACGCUGAAGGAGGAGCUUGCUCUUCUGGAUGAGUUGCGAACGGGUGAGUAACGCGCAGGUAACCUGCCUGGUAGCGGGGGAUAACUAUUGGAAACGAUAGCUAAUACCGCAUAAUAUUGAUUAUUGCAUGAUAGUCAAUUAAAAGGUGCAAUUGCAUCACUACCAGAUGGACCUGCGUUGUAUUAGCUAGUUGGUGAGGUAACGGCUCACCAAGGCGACGAUACAUAGCCGACCUGAGAGGGUGAUCGGCCACACUGGGACUGAGACACGGCCCAGACUCCUACGGGAGGCAGCAGUAGGGAAUCUUCGGCAAUGGACGGAAGUCUGACCGAGCAACGCCGCGUGAGUGAAGAAGGUUUUCGGAUCGUAAAGCUCUGUUGUAAGAGAAGAACGAGUGUGAGAGUGGAAAGUUCACACUGUGACGGUAUCUUACCAGAAAGGGACGGCUAACUACGUGCCAGCAGCCGCGGUAAUACGUAGGUCCCGAGCGUUGUCCGGAUUUAUUGGGCGUAAAGCGAGCGCAGGCGGUUAGAUAAGUCUGAAGUUAAAGGCUGUGGCUUAACCAUAGUACGCUUUGGAAACUGUUUAACUUGAGUGCAAGAGGGGAGAGUGGAAUUCCAUGUGUAGCGGUGAAAUGCGUAGAUAUAUGGAGGAACACCGGUGGCGAAAGCGGCUCUCUGGCUUGUAACUGACGCUGAGGCUCGAAAGCGUGGGGGAGCAAACAGG